rnacentral:rRNA from 1 species
UCCAGACUCCUACGGGAGGCAGCAGUGGGGAAUAUUGCACAAUGGGGGAAACCCUGAUGCAGCAACGCCGCGUGAGUGAGGAAGUAUUUCGGUAUGUAAAGCUCUAUCAGCAGGGAAUAGAAAAGAAGGUACCUGAAAAAGAAGCCCCGGCUAACUACGUGCCAGCAGCCGCGGUAAUACGUAGGGGGCAAGCGUUAUCCGGAUUUACUGGGUGUAAAGGGAGCGUAGACGGUGAAGCAAGUCUGAAGUGAAAGGCGGGGGCUCAACCCCCGGACUGCUUUGGAAACUGUUUGACUGGAGUGCAGGAGAGGUAAGUGGAAUUCCUAGUGUAGCGGUGAAAUGCGUAGAUAUUAGGAGGAACACCAGUGGCGAAGGCGGCUUACUGGACUGUAGCUGACGUUGAGGCUCGAAAGCGUGGGGAGCAAACAGGAUUAGAUACCCCAGUACU